rnacentral:tRNA from 1 species
GGGAAUGUGGCUUAGUGGUAGAGCACUUGCCUAGUAUGCAUGAAACCGGGGUUCAAUUCCUCAGCAUCA